rnacentral:rRNA from 1 species
UGAGGAAUCUUGCGCAAUGGGCGAAAGCCUGACGCAGCGACGCCGCGUGGACGAUGAAGGCCUUCGGGUCGUAAAGUCCUGUCGGGUGGGAAGAACCGGUCCGCGGCUAAUAUCCGCGAACCCUGACUGUACCGGUGGAGGAAGCCCCGGCUAACUCCGUGCCAGCAGCCGCGGUAAUACGGGGGGGGCAAGCGUUGUCCGGAAUCAUUGGGCGUAAAGGGUGCGUAGGCGGAUAGGUCAGUCAGGGGUAAAAUCUUGUAGCUUAACUAUAAGUUGGCCUUUGAUACUGCUUAUCUUGAGUAUGAGAGAGGAAGGCGGAAUUCCCGGUGUAGCGGUGAAAUGCGUAGAUAUCGGGAAGAACACCAGUGGCGAAGGCGCCACUCUGGGCCGUAACUGACGCUGAGGAGCGAAAGCAUGGGUAGCAAACAGGAUUAGAUACCCUGGUAGUCCAUGCCGUAAACGUUGGGCACUAGGUGUGGGUCUCAACCAACGAGAUCCGCGCCGUCGCUAACGCAUUAAGUGCCCCGCCUGGGGAGUACGGUCGCAAGACUA